rnacentral:tRNA from 1 species
GGAUGGGUGGCCGAGUGGUUGAAGGCGACGGUCUUGAAAACCGUUUAUGGCGGAAGCCAUACGGGGGUUCGAAUCCCUCCCCAUCCG